GAUGAAGAACGUAGCGAAAUGCAAUAAGUAAUGUGAAUUGCAGAAUUCAGUGAAUCAUCGAAUCUUUGAACGCAUCUUGCGCUCCUUGGUAUUCCGAGGAGCAUGCCUGUUUGAGUGUCAUUAAAUUCUCAACUCUUUUAUACAGUUUUGUAUAGGAGAGCUUGGAUUGUGGAGGUUUGCUGGCCACUUGUUUGAGGUCAGCUCCUCUGAAAUGCAUUAGCGGAACCGUUUGCGAUCUGCCACAAGUGUGAUAAAUUAUCUACACUGGCAAGGGGGAUUGCUCUCUGUAUUGUUCAGCUUCUAAUUGUCUCUACUUUGCGGGACUAUUUUUGAAUACUUGACCUCAAAUCAGGUAGGACUACCCGCUGAACUUAAGCAUAUCAAUAAGCGGAGGA
rnacentral:misc_RNA from 1 species